UACGGAGGGGGCUAGCGUUGCUCGGAAUCACUGGGCGUAAAGCGCACGUAGGCGGAUCUUUAAGUCAGGGGUGAAAUCCUGGAGCUCAACUCCAGAACUGCCUUUGAUACUGGGGAUCUCGAGUCCGGAAGAGGUGAGUGGAACUGCGAGUGUAGAGGUGAAAUUCGUAGAUAUUCGCAAGAACACCAGUGGCGAAGGCGGCUCACUGGCCCGAUACUGACGCUGAGGCACGAAAGCGUGGGGAGCAAACAGG
rnacentral:rRNA from 1 species